CAGUAGCCACGGGAAUACGUAGGGUGCAAGCGUUAAUCGGAAUUACUGGGCGUAAAGCGUGCGCAGGCGGUUAUAUAAGACAGAUGUGAAAUCCCCGGGCUCAACCUGGGAACUGCAUUUGUGACUGUAUAGCUAGAGUACGGCAGAGGGGGAUGGAAUUCCGCGUGUAGCAGUGAAAUGCGUAGAUAUGCGGAGGAACACCGAUGGCAAAGGCAAUCCCCUGGGCCUGUACUGACGCUCAUGCACGAAAGCGUGGGGAGCAAACAGGAUUAGAUACCCCUGUAGUCCCUGUCUCUUAUAC
rnacentral:rRNA from 1 species